GUAUUUAUGUUUAACGCCUGCUAACGCGGGCCUUUGGGAAG
rfam:Providencia alcalifaciens DSM 30120 P_alcalifaciens-1.0_Cont149.1, whole genome shotgun sequence.